rfam:Erinaceus europaeus unplaced genomic scaffold scaffold00140, whole genome shotgun sequence
GUGCUCACUUCGGUAGUACAUACACUAAAAUUGGAAUGAUGCAGACAGGAUUGGCAUGGCCCCUGCAGAAGGAUGACACACAAAUUCAUGAAGUGUUCCAUAUUAAA